AUUGAACGCUGGCGGAAUGCUUUACACAUGCAAGUCGAACGGCAGCACGGGGGCAACCCUGGUGGCGAGUGGCGAACGGGUGAGUAAUACAUCGGAACGUGCCCGGUCGUGGGGGAUAACGUAGCGAAAGUUACGCUAAUACCGCAUAAGAUCUGAGGAUGAAAGCGGGGGACCUUCGGGCCUCGCGCGAUCGGAGCGGCCGAUGUGAGAUGUGGUAGUUGGUGGGGUAAAGGCCUACCAAGCCGACGAUCCGUAGCUGGUCUGAGAGGACGACCAGCCACACUGGGACGGGGACACGGCCCAGACGCCUACGGGAGGCAGCAGUGGGGAAUUUUGGACAAUGGGCGCAAGCCUGAUCCAGCCAUUCCGCGUGCAGGACGAAGGCCUUCGGGUUGUAAACUGCUUUUGUAUGGAACGAAAAGGCUCUGGCUAAUACCUGGGGCUCAUGACGGUACCGUAAGAAUAAGCACCGGCUAACUACGUG
rnacentral:rRNA from 1 species